AUGAUGUCAACCUUCAACGUUCAACAGCAUGGAGCCUGUGCUGACACCGCCAAGAGCCAGAGUGGAGUCAGAGGUCAGGAUUUUCUGAAUCUUCAUGCAACUUACUCGAGGAAUGGAACGACUAACUCCCUGUCAACAGAAACAACAACAGGAAUUGGCAUAUUCAUUCGACUUGAAAGAGUACAGCGACAAGGCAAUUUCCAUUAUUCAUUCAGGCUACCAGCCCAGAAGAAAAGGAGUUCAAUGUCGGGGCACAUAACUGCGCAGCUCAGGCUCAUUUCUCAGAUUGUAACGAUGGCACAAAAGUUGGCUUGUAGCUCAAUUGAGCACUGUCAUGGAGCCAGGGAUUCUUAA
rnacentral:rRNA from 1 species